rnacentral:rRNA from 1 species
GUACGCUAUUCAGAGUUUGAUCCUGGCUCAGGAUGAGCGCUAGCUACAGGCUUAACACAUGCAAGUCGAGGGGCAGCACUAGGUAGCAAUACUGAGGUGGCGACCGGCGCACGGGUGCGUAACGCGUAUCCAACCUUCCCGUUACUCUUGGAUAGCCUUCCGAAAGGGAGAUUAAUACAGGAUGGUGUUUGAAUUCUGCAUGUUAUUCAAACUAAAGAUUUAUCGGUAACGGAUGGGGGUGCGUGACAUUAGGUAGAUGGCGGGGUAACGGCCCACCAUGCCCACGAUGUCUAGGGGUUCUGAGAGGAAGGUCCCCCACACUGGAACUGAGACACGGUCCAG